UGCUGUGAGGGUGAUCUGGCUAAGAUAUCUGUCACUCACUGAUGGCCAGGAUUCACUUAGCCUGGCAGGCUGUCCCCGUGCUCCCUUGUCAUUCCAUGUGCUGUGCUCACUUGAUGAGUAAACAACAUGCAGAGCAUCAUAGUCUCUCAGGAACAUGUUAGCUAGUAGAUUUGCAGAUCUGUCCCUAAAGACUUCUAGUUCAAGAAUGCAAAGCAAAUUAAUUUUAUUAGAUUUAAUU
rnacentral:sRNA from 1 species